rnacentral:rRNA from 1 species
CGGACGGGUGAGUAAUGCUUGGGAAUCUAGCUUAUGGAGGGGGAGUAACUACGGGAAACUGUAGCUAAUACCGCGUAGAAUCGGGAGAUGAAAGUGUGGGACCUUCGGGCCACAUGCCAUAGGAUGAGCCCAAGUGGGAUUAGGUAGUUGGUGAGGUAAAGGCUCACCAAGCCGACGAUCUCUAGCUGGUCUGAGAGGAUGACCAGCCACACUGGGACUGAGACACGGCCCAG